rnacentral:rRNA from 1 species
CUGUUAAACUUGUCACUACUUGCCAGACAAGCAUGGCGCUUGCUGCAGAACCCGGAGUCCCUUAGUGCCUGAAUCUUGAGAGGGGUUUACUACCCGGGGCAAACAAUUUUAGAUGCAAACUUGGGAUCCCACCCAAGUCAGAUCUGGAGAGCAAUUGUUGAUGGAAGAUAUAUUCUUACUCAGGGCUUGAUAAAGAGAAUUGGUAACGGGGAAGACACACUGAUUUGGUCAGAAAAUUGGUUGCCAAGAGAUGAGAUGUUGAGACCGUAUGGGUGUUUGACGCAGGACCUGCCUCAACGCGUCGCCGAGCUGAUAGACUCAACAACGGCGACCUGGGACAUGCCGAAGGUCCACCAAGUUUUUUUUCCUUUCGACGCGAAGGUGAUAGCAGGAAUACCGCUGUGUACUAGCAACGUUCCAGAUUUCUAG